rnacentral:sRNA from 1 species
AUGAGUGAAAAAGAUUUCGUUAUUUCCCUUGAAAAAAUUGUAAAGAGGCAAGAAACGGAGGUUAAAUUAGCUUUAAUAGGAAAGGGUGAAUAUAGGCUUAAAGAUGAGUACAAACACCUGACACUCUCCGAAGAUCUGUAUUGGCGGAAAUCAUGCAGUCAGCCAGAGAGAGGCAGUUUUUGGGAAAAUGCUAAAGGAACCUCUAAUGUCAACAAUGGAAGAAGCAAUGGCAGGACCCAACAUCAAUAGUACCCAGCUGGAUAUUUUAGACUCUUUUCCAUCUACCACUUCAACGGAUAUUAAUAGCAUACCAUCUGAAAUUCUACAAAGUAUUUUCCAUGAUGCCAAAAAUAUUUCACAGACCGCAAAUGGAAUUGUUCAAAUGCCCGGAUGUGAUGACAGUUCUUCAUUUUUUGUUAUUAACAGAGUCCAAAAAUCUGAUCCAUUCAAAGUGUAUAGGUCUAAAUGUGCAUCCUUGUUUACUUGUGAAACUAAAUGUCAUCGCUACAAUAGUUAUAAGCUUUGUGAACAUACAAUAGCUACAUCAAUCUACUGUGAUAUAUUUUCGGAUUAUAUUCAAAAAUAUAAAGCAAAGUUUUCAAAGUUGAAAGGAAAUCUUACUGCUAUCUCUCUAACUGGAAUGCCUCGGAAUAGAGGGCAAAAGCAAAAAGGAACAUCAGUUCGAAAAGGCAAAAAUAAUAAAACUUGCACUGAAGUAAUAGAUUAUUUAAAUCCAGAAAAUCCAGAAAAAAGAAAUAUGUUAGAUCUCGAACAGCCAUUUCAUUUGACAUUUCUGGCUGGUUUAGUAAAAAAAUGCUAUGGUUGUGGACAAUUAUUUACAGACAAAUUAAGAAAACCGCCAAAUGAUCUUGUACUCAAACGGUAUGAUUACCGGAAGUAUCUGAGCCCAAAUUCUAAGACACCAAGAGUUUCUACUUCCUUGCAAAAUACGUAUUACCAUCUGAAUGCAGAUUGUUGUCGGAGACAAUGUCCAUUGUUUGAAAUGUCUCGCCAUGUCAUAGUGCAUUCAGAAAUUUCAGCACAAUUAUCAUCAGGACAUCGGGACAAUUUAAGGAAAUGUAACAUAACAAUAAAUUA